rnacentral:lncRNA from 1 species
GUACGAUCCUUUUGCUUCAAAGCCCUAAACUCACGCUUCUUCAAAGCAACAACUCCUACAGGUACGUGUCUUCUUGAAUCCUUCGGUAAACUCUUCCCAAGUGAUUGGUUGUCGUUCUGCUCUGUUCAUCCGGAAAUGAUCCCACCAUUCUGAUGCAGAUUAGAAAAGGUAGAAGGAGAGGGGUUACACUAAAGACAAGACCUUAACCAGGUUAACACUGAUCUGAUGUGUGUAGACCAUUAUAUUGUUCAAGUUGAUUAAGCAAGCAACCUAGUAUAGUUACACACUCAUCAAUGAACUACUCCAAUGAUGGGAAUGCAACCAUACCUACACACAAAGCAAACAACAAGCGUUCUACCCUACUAACUAUUCUUCAAAGACACUUUGGCGGCAUAGGUUCUAAGAUAGGUUCCAAACUUCACUCUAUCUGAACACUUAAGAUUCGACUAUCAUCUUCUUAUUCCUCGAUCCACUUGACUUGCAGAAGUUGACAACAUCGACGUCUUCGAGUUUCUCCAUCAAGAUUAACGACUACUCAAGUUGAAAGAGGAAGGGGGAAGAACGACAAAACGAUUUGCAAAGAAUUCUAGAUAAGAAAGAAAGGAAAAUUUUCACAAAUUAUGUUUUCGGAAGAUUUGUCCUUAAGGUUUGACCAUUUGGCUUAUCCUACAGUAUGAAAGCUAUCAGAUGUAAGCGGGCCCGGCCUGGGGGAAGGCGGGACGUUACAGCCCUGAUCAUGUUGUUCAAAUUAUCACUGACAAUGGGUCUAACUAUAAGAAGGCGUGCAGACUACUUCGGCAAGAAUACCAAAGAAUUGUGUGGCAACCUUGUGUGGCACACACAGUCAACUUGAUGCUUAAGGAUGUUGGGAAAAUGCCAAACCACGAAAUGGUGAUUGCAAGUGGUAGAAAAAUUUGCAGAUGGCUAUACAAUCAUAACAAGUUGCAUGCUAUGAUGGUCACAGCUAUAGGUGGUGAACUGGUUAAGUGGAAUGUUACAAGGUUCGGGACGAACUACAUGUUCCUCCAGAGUUUCCUUAGGAAGCGAGAUCUUUUCAUGCAAUGGAUGGCUUCCUCUGACUUCAUGCAAAGCAAAUUCAGCGGGACAACGGAAGGUAGAUAUGCACACGCAUGUCUAUCUAGCAUAUCUUGGUGGGAGAACUUAGAGGCAGUAGUGAAUUCUGUCCAACCUAUGUACUCAUUCCUUCGGUUUGCUGACGAGGACAAGAACCCCAAUUUGAGUGAGGUACUUCUGAGAUAUCAGUUGCUCAAAAUGGAGUACGGCAGUAUUUUUGCGAAUCAAAGGGACAAGUUUGAAGCAUACAUGGAGAUUGUUAACAGAAGGAUGCACGACCUAACCAAUGAAACUCUGAUCAAUGCCAGUAAGUAUUGGUCAUAACAUAAUCCACAUGUCGUAUUGUGUAACUCGUACUUAACCUAUGACAUGUUUUGUAGCUGCCGCAUUGAACCCUAGGACGCACUAUGCGUACUAUCCAAGUGCCACUGUCUUCCAAGACCUCCGACAGGCAUUCGAGUGGAUGACGGACAUCGAUACAGCCGCCGCCGCUUUGCUGGAGGUUGAGAUGUAUCGACGUAAGACGGGCGAAUUUGGAAGGGCACUAGCAAGAAAGAUGGCCAUAGAUGGGAAAACGUCUCCUGGUAUGUUUCUAAUCAUGGAACUAUGAUAUGUCCAAUCGAUCUUGAUGUAUUCAAUAUUAUAAAAUGACAUGUUACUCGGCAAUUGCAGCACAAUGGUGGUCUAUGUUCGCCUCAGACACGCCGAAUUUGAAGAAGCUUGCGUUGCGUUUGGUUGGUCAAUGUUGCUCUUCAAGUGGAUGUGAACGGAAUUGGAGCACAUUCGCUUUCGUACAUACCAAGGUUCGUAAUAGACUUACCCACAAGAAGCUCAACAAGCUAGUUUAUGUGAACUACAACCUUCGCCUUCGAAUUCGGCGAGCAAAUGCCCAAGUUAGGACGGAGGACGACGAUCCCCUUCAAAGAUUAGCGGACCUCUCAUUCUACGAAACUAACAAUCAGAUCAAGAAAUGGAUGGACACUGCUCGGUCGAAUGCUUGCCCUGAACUAGAUGAAGAUUCAAAUGAGAGUGACGCCCCCUUGCCUAGUCCACUUGUAACCGACCUAGUGGACUUGGAUGACCUGCACAGGACCACGGGAGCUUCUAGUUUUGUUGAGUGGGCUGAUAAGAAUGUAGGUGACACUCAUAUUGGAAAAAGGAAGACUCGAAAGCCACCAAAAGCACGUCCAUCUAAAAAGACAAAGGGCAAAGGUCUACGAUCGACUAAUGUUGAUAGCGAUGAAGAGACUCAAGGAAGCCCAGACUACCAAGAGUCUAAUGAUAGUAGUUCAAGAACUGAAACCGAUGACGGAGACGACGAUGGUCAAGGAGGCCAAGGAACUACUGAUGUGCCUCCUAGGGGUCACACCCAACAGUUAGAUCACCACAGCCCCAUUCAAUUCACUGGUGUGAUAUAAUUUAAUUGCUAUUUCAACCUUCACCAUCCAAUUCAGUACUAGUUAAUUUACUUGCAACUUUCUCAUUUGCAGGUGAGGCUGACUUUACUCAUGCUACUCAGGACCACGAUCAUGGUGCUCCAAGCUCUCAACGAACUACCAUUGCAUCGAGAGGCCAACAACAGCAACAACAUGUUGACAUACAACAGGAUAGCUCCAGCUCAUUCAGUGCCUCUAGCAUUGAAAGUGGCUAUCCAACGUAUGUGUAUAACCGUCCGCAAGCUUCUGAUUAUCCUGCGCCUACAUGGGUGUAUGAAUGGCAAGAGCCUCAGUGGUAUGCUCAAUUGUACGCUCAGUGGCAAACAACAUCAUCAUGGACUGGUCAAAGAUGGGAGGCAUACAAAGCGGGGUUGCUACAUUCACAUGGCUUGAUGCUCAUGUCCAUAGAGGAGUACAAUAUGGCAUAUAAUCAGUGGAACGCGUAGCUAUGCAUGUCCUUGUUUAUUUCCUUUCAUUCAAACUAGAACUGUAAUCGUGGACAUUAUAUUGUGGACUCUGUUGUUAUUGUGGACUCUAUUCAUUCUACAUGUGGACAUCGUUAUGCUUUCAAAUAUGAGAUUGAUGAUUGUUAUUGUUGAAUUAUAAUGUUAUGAAUUAUUGGAUUGAUUUGAACUGCACAAUAUAGAAAAGAAAGGUCAUGCCGAAUUUUUCUAUUAUAUAAUCACAUCUUAAGUUUUCAAGUCUCCCAUAUAUUUUUUUGUUAGAGCUAUUAUCCCCAUAUAUUUUUUGUUAGAGCUAUUAUCCCCAAAUUAUACUCACAUUUAAGUGUUUCUCCUUUUUUUUUGCAUUCUCCUUAUUUUCUGAUUCACAUAUCGCGGUAACCGUUUACUUACCGCGGUAACCGACUGAAACCGUGUGGUAACCUCGAUCAUACCGUGUGAUUUGAAUUCAAAAAUUUGGAUGCGGAAUUUGUGCGGUUUUUGGCGGUAACCGCGCGGUUACCGCGGGGGGUCGGUAACCCACCCUAAAACGGUAAGGUGAACCCUGCGUGAGAGUUAGCCGUCUGGUAACAAAGAACCGUCGCUCUGUGCCGCAAAAAGAGGAACUAGCGCCGUAGUUUCCGAAGAAUCGAGAGAAAAAGAGAGAGGGUUAGCGACUUUGGCGGACUACGUUUUGGACUUCUGUUUGCCUCCCGUGUGUGUGGAGCUGUGGGCUGGGCCUUGCAUGUUCGGAGAGCGCUACGGCUCGGACGUCCGAUAUCCCACCAAAUAUCGGACGCCCAGCCAACCUCUGAGCGUAUGUGCAUGUGCAUGUUGCUGCACUUUAUUUUUCACUCCACAAUCAUAAGGAAUCUUCCCAUCUGACGUCUGAUGUCCAAAAAAAAUUGGUUGGUCAAAUGUUACUAGUUGACCAUUGAGCAGUGAAACAUCAAAUUAUAUAUGGUGAAAAAAAAUCAGCAACUGAAACAUUUAAAAAUUUUAUGAAACAUGAUGAAGAUAUACGUUGAAACAUGUCGCUACCACAUAUGAAACAACUAGUGUUAACGGAUUGAAACAUAUGUUUUUCUUCUAUCAAAAUAUAAUCAUGUGAUAUCUUGUUGUAAAGAUUUAAUUACAACGAAUACAACGGUGUAAUCAAAUCAUAGAUUGGAUAAUUAGUUUAUGAGAAAAAUCAUUUUAAAACUCGCAAAAAUGCAUACAUGUAUGCAUGUAUGAGGUGCAGAGAGAUGGGAGGGUAGUGGCAAGUAUUUCCGUGAAUUUUAUGAAACACAAUAUGGAUAGACAAUAUAAUGGUGUAGACCUUAUUUUGAAAGAGUGCAUUACUUAAGAGUAAUAGAUCAAUGUAAUAAAAAGUAGAUCCGAUGAUUUAUAUAAUGGGGCUAUCAGCUUAAGUGCACGUAUAAAUAAGUUAAUAUAGAUAUUGUUUAUUUGAUAAGUAUACGAUAUAAUUGUGUAAAAUUUAUUUUAAAGUAGUGCAUUAUUUGAAAAUAAUUGUACAAAGUAAAGAGUACACCCGUUUAAAUUAUAUGAUGGUAGAUUCUUUAUUUGUAAAAUAAUGAUUAUUUAAAAAAUAUAUCCAUUAAAUAUAUAAAUUAAAAAAAUAAGAAAAAAGAAAAGAAAAGGAGGGGAAGGAAGCGUAUGUACGUAUGUACGUAUAUACUCCACAUGCCAAUGCACGGGAGGAGGAUAGGUGGGACCCACGGUAAUUAGUAUGUUUUAAGAUCAAUUUUAUCUAACGGUGUAUAAUAUUGGACCCACCAAUUUAAGUGAAAAUCAAAGAAUAGAUGUUUUGCUUUUUUCUUAGAAUAUCUAGGAUUUUCUCUAUUUUAUUAGAGCGCCAAGUGGCGGCUUGAGAGUGUUUGUAGGAAGUUUCAUGGACUUUUAGUAUAUAAUAACUAGUUGGGUGGCCCGCGCAAUCGCGCGGCUAGCACCCAUACAAAAUUAUAUUUUUAAAUAUGUUUUUACUUAAAAUUUAUUAAAUAUCUAUCUCGUUGUUUUAAGACUUUGAAAGACGAAACCUUAUCAUUCUCGUGUUUCUAAUUUUAUAGUUUUUAAAAGUCAUACCAGUUGCUACUGCUUACUUAUGAUAUAUCCUUCUUUAUUUGCUUGCUCGAUCUACUGCUGUUUCUAUUCAUUCUCCUUAGAACCUUUAAAAACUGGAUCUUAUAAUUUUUAGAGUUUAUUGUCCCGUUGGGUUUCGUUUAUAUAAUUUCUAGAAGUUUUGUCAAACAUUGCCAUUAUACUUCUCUACGGUCGUCCACUGUAUUUUCUCUUUAUUGUCAUUGGUAUUUUAAAAAUGAACAUAAUUAUCAUUUAGGUUCAUUUUUUACUUUUUAGAAUUUCUGCCAAAACGUCAGCGACUUAGUCAUUGUACUCCUUUACGGCUUGCCCGCUGCCUCCCUUCUUUAUUGUCAUUGAGAAUUUAAAAUCAAACAUGUUUAUCAUUGGGUUUCUUUUAUACUUUUUAGAAGCCCGAACCUUUAAAAAUUAGACCUUAUAGUUUUUAGAGUUCAUUGUUUCAUUGGGUUUUAUUUUUUAUAACUUUUAGAAAUCCCGUCAAACGCUGCCACUAUACUCCUCUACGACCUAUCUGCCGACUACUAUUUAUUGUCAUUGGGAUCCUAAAAACCCGAACAUAACAAUCAUUGGAAUUCAUUUUUUACUUUCUAGAAGUCCUAGCAACCAUUGGCGGCUCUGCCAUUGUACUCAUAUAUGACCCGUCCGAUGCCUCUCAUUUUUAUUGUCAUUGUCACGACCGGAAUUAACCCAACAGGCGUUCCUUACGUGCGUGUAUUAUUCCUUGUCCCAGGAGGCAAGGUACACCAAAAGUUGAUACAUUUCAGAGUUUAUCAAGCGGAAGCAUAAAUAGAUAAUUUAUUACAUGGGCGGCGAAGGCCCAGCACACACAAAGACAAACGGGAAACAGAGGAAGACUAGGGCGACGACCACAGGCGCUUGACGGCAGACACGAGCUAGACACCAAAGCCUUCAUCUUCCAGGAACUCCACUUCUGGGUUUGGGAAAAAUUGAGCAAGACUGAGUACAACCACCGUACUCAACAAGACACACCCACAAGUGCAGGAUAAAUGCAAGGGAGUACAAGGGCAUUAUAAUAUAAAGGGUUAGGGUUUGCAGUAAACAGCAUUAAAAGACACUUAGGUACUCAAAGCUAUUUUGUAAACACGAUUCUAGAGCUAUACAAUAUUAUUAAACAAGGCCGUGAACCCACACGAACCUGCCUUAACCCAAGGCCUACGAUGAUUCAGACCGAACUGGCAACCCGACCCUGGGUCCCAGCUCGUCCUAAGCCAACCCAGGCCAACCAUUCCACAUUUUAGUUGUUAAGCAGGUUUUAAGAAUUAAAACACUAACUUCGGUACAUUGCUCGGCUUGCCCAUAACCGAGGGCGCGGCUAUUCGAAUAGAUUAUACUCUGACCAGAGGUGUACAUCUUUACCCACAAGACACAUCUUCCUCACGUGUAACCACGUGCCACAUACCACCACGGUAUACGGAUGGAAGACGUGACAUAGUUUCCAACCCAUCCUAGCCAUAGACGAGAGUACCGACCCAACCCCACCUACGGCCGGAACCCCCGGGACAGGUAGGCAGGACUGAGCCCCUAGCUACAGGACACCGGCCCUGUGCUAUGACAUCUCGACUACCGGGCCGCAGCUCGUGUAGCCUUCAUUUGUCCUAUAGAUGUCCAUCGACCCCCGACUUCGUCCAUCUCCAUCCGUGUACUUUUGUUUAUAACCAGACUGAGCCACAAACUAAGCCUUACCCACUAGACAUGUGGAAGUACGGUAGUGCUUUGCAACAGAGGCCCGAAGACCGGUCCUUAUAUGGCCGAGGUGCUACUAUCAAAACCAUGCACCCCGAGCCCAGCCUAAAACCAUUUUGGGGGUUUUGAAUAGAGGGGGAGGUGUGAACCCAAUUCCACAAUAAUCCAACCAUUCCAUAGUGUCCAGGUGAUGAGAAUAUUCCCAAAGUCUAGAGUUAUAAAACCACCUAAUGUUGCCUAAUUAAUCAGCGAAGCAUCUACCUAAAAUCAUACUAGUGGUACCAUGAGUAGAGUGUCCACUAGUUGGGGUUUUGUUUAUUCUAGGGUGAACAAGGAAAUAAUAACAAUAACAAUAAUAAGGUCAUAACAAAGGUAAAUAGGCAUGGCUAGAUAAAACAGUGAUAACGCGGGAAUUUAAAUAAAGCGGUAAUGCAAUAAUUUAAAUCAAAAUAAUUUUAUAAACUGGGAUUCAAUAUGUUCAAGGAUGAUGUGACUUGCCUUGCUCGCUUUCCCAAACGUCGGCUUCAACCUCCACGAAGAGCGGAUCUUCCGAAGCUGCAGCGUCUACACGACCAACGGAAAAGAAAAGGCUUUUACUCUAAUAAACUCCGUAUAACAAGCAGGAACAAAGCACAAAAAUGGGUUCUUGACUUCUUAAGAAAAAAUUAGAGACUUGAACGGUCCAAUUCCGAGUUCAAAUGGCCAAGUUAUGGUCAUUUGAAGUUUAUAUGCUCUUUAAAUGAAUAUUUGCGAAUUUCUUCAUUUAAAUUUUAAUUUAAAAAGGGUUUAUUGCGUCAGCCGAGGGGAGGGGGCGCGCGGACCGGGUCCACGGGAGUGGGGCCCACGCGGCACCCUCACGGUCCACGGUGGACCGGGUGCACCCGGGCUCACACCGGCCAGCGCCGUGGGUCCCACGCGUCAGCUGCACCCGAGGGCACGAGCGGCUGAUGGCCGGGCCCCACGCGGCAGCCACUCGGCGCGCCCGAGGGCAGCCAAGCCGGCGCAGCCGGCGGCGGCCAUAGGCACGGCGGAGCGGCGGCCGAGAGAGGGGAAGGGAAGGGGGAAAAGAGGCGGCGGUCCACGGCUCACCCUAGGUCCACGGCGACGACGAAAAAGGCGGCCGGAGCGGAGGAAGGCGGCGGCGCGGCUCGGGUCGACGGGGUCGACGGCGUUCCGGCGGUCGGCGAGCGAAACGGAGGGGUGGAUGAGGUCGGCGAGGAUGCGGCGAAGCCGAAGGAGGCGGCGCCGAGGUGGGAGGUGGUCUGGGGCGACGACGGCGGCGGACCGGAGCUCGGCGGCGACGGCGGAGAGAGAGAGCGACGGCGCGAGCUCGAUUCCGGUGAGGAGGAAGGGCGGCGAGAGGCGGAAACGGACGGAGGAGGUGCGGGGUGGGUUUAAAUAGAGCCGGGGCGAGAGAGGGCGGCCGGGGAAGGAAGGAAACCGGCGCGGGAUGUCGGCCGCCAUCAAUGGCGCCGGCGAGACUUGCGGGGGCAAGUCCGCCGUUUGAACGCGAGAGAGAGAGGGAAAAAUGGGGGAAAGGGAGAGAGAAUCAAGGGGAAUAAUUCCCCCCUAUUGAUUGCACGCGGGGAUGACGGGAUGCGGCGGAUUCGGCGGCGGCGGCGGCGCUAGGGCGCGGGCGAGGCGGCGGGAGCUGCCAGGAGGAAGGGGAUGACGGGUGGGCCCCACCCGUCAGCGAGGGUGGUGGGCGGGCCCGCCCGUCAGCGGCGCGCGCGCGGGGAGAGGGGAGAGAGGGGGAGGGAGAUGGGCCGAGCCGGCCCAAGAGGGGGAGGGAGGGAAAGGGGACCUUUAGGGUUUUUCUUUUUAUAAAACCAUUUUAACUUUGUUUAUUUCUUAAUAAUUAUUAUUUGUGCUCUGAAAAUUCCACUAAAAUUUAUUUACGCAUUUUAGGCUUUUAGGAAAUAUACAAAAAUCCUCCAAGCCUUAUUUGACUUUUAACUUUGCACAUUUUAAUUUUUGGAGGCUUUCACACGGAUUUUAAUUAUUCUAGACAUAAUUUAGAGGAUGUAUUUUAGAGUCGUUUUGGGACGUGACAAACCUACCCCCUUAAACGGAAUCUCGACCCCGAGAUUCGGAAGAACUGACGAAGAGAUCGGGAUGGGCUGCCUUCAUCUCGUCUUCCUCAGCGUAGUAGCUUCUUCCUCAGCGUAGUUGCUCCAUUGGACCUUGCAAAAACGGAUUACCCGGUUCCUGAUCCUGCGCUCCAUGGUGUCCAGGAUUUUCACUGGCCUUUCCACGUAGGUCAAGUCUUCGCGAACUUCAAUUUGCUCUGAAUCGGCCUGCUCGGAUGGCACUCGAAGACAUUUCUUGAGUUGCGACACAUGGAACACAUCAUGCACGUUGCCCAAGGAGGCGGGCAGCUCCAACUGGUAAGCGACUUCCCCGCGCCGAGCAAUGAUACGGAAAGGACCCACGAACCGAGGGGCAAGCUUCCCUUUCGUCUGGAACCUGUGUACACCCCGCAAUGGCGUGACCCGAAGGUACACAAAAUCGUCCACUGCAAAUUCCAGAUUACGGCGUCGGUUAUCUGCAUAACUCUUCUGCCAGGACUGUGCCACCUUUAGAUUAUCCCGAAUGGUUCUGACUUUAGCUUUAGCUUCUCUCAGGAUAUCAGUUCCGAACACUUGGCUUUCCCCAACUUGGUCCCACAAUAGCGGUGUCCGGCAUUUGCGUCCAUACAACGCUUCAUAGGGUGCCAUUUGUAUGCUGGCUUGGUAGCUGUUAUUGUAGGAGAACUCGGCAUAGGGGAGACUCUUAUCCCCGGUCUUCCCGAAAUCUAGGACGCAGGCACGGAGCAUAUCUUCUAGGAUCUGAUUUAGACGCUCGGUCUGUCCAUCUGUCUGCGGGUGAUACGCGGUGCUGAAAUUUAAUCGGGUACCCAACUCUUCUUGGAGCUUCUUCCAAAAGUGAGAGGUGAAUUGGCUUCCCCUAUCAGAUACAAUUUUCUUAGGAACACCAUGGAGACUCACGAUCCUAGCGAAGUAGAGCUCGGCUAGUUUGUUCCCUCCAUAGGUGGUCUUCACAGGAAUAAACCGAGCUACCUUGGUAAGUCGGUCCACAACUACCCAUAUAGAAUCAUAUCCGCCUUGGGUUUUUGGAAGUCCGGUGAUGAAAUCCAUCCCAAUUUCACCCCAUUUCCAUUCUGGUACUUGGAGAGGUUGGAGAAGUCCGGCCGGUCGUUGGUACUCUGCCUUGACACGCUGGCACACAUCACAAAGGGCCACGAACUCUGCAAUUUCCCGCUUCAUACUAACCCACCAGUAUUUCUCUUUCAAGUCUAAGUACAUCUUCGUACUGCCAGGGUGGAUGGAAUAAGGACUUUCGUGAGCUUCCUGAAGUAUCAACUGUUUAAGUUCUCUGUCGUCUGGAACGCAUACCCGAUUUCCAUUCCAUAGGGUUCCGUGUUCAUCCUCUGUGAAACCAGCGGCUUUACCCUGUUUCAUAUUCUUGAGGAGUCCACGCACAUCCGGAUCAUUCUUCUGAGCCUCGCGGAUUUGAUCGAGCAAGGUAGGCUUGGCUUCCAGCGUAGCUAAGAAUCCACGACUAACUAUACUUAGGUUCAGGGCUUCCAUCUGUUGAUUAAGUUCUGGUGGAAUGCCACGGACGCCAAGAGUGUUGCAGUGGCUUUUUCGACUUAGAGCGUUGGCGACCACGUUGGCCUUACCAGGAUGAUAGUGAAUUCCCACAUCAUAAUCCUUGAUGAGUUCUAACCAUCUCCUUUGCCGAAGAUUCAGAUCCGACUGAGUGAAGAUGUAUUUCAAACUCUUAUGAUCAGUAUAUAUUUCACAGCGAUUCCCAAUGAGAUAGUGCCGCCAGAUCUUUAGAGCAUGAACCACAGCGGCUAACUCCAAAUCAUGGGUAGGGUAGUUGCCUUCAUGGGGCCGUAGCUGGCGUGAGGCAUAGGCUACCACAUGACCUUCCUGCAUGAGCACGCACCCCAAUCCUUGGCGCGAAGCGUCACAGUACACCAUGAAGUCCUUGCGAGUAUCCGGUAAGAUUAAAACCGGCGAGGAAACCAGCUUUUCCUUGAGAGUUUGGAACGCCUUCUCGCAUUGCGGGCUCCACACAAAUUUCUCUUCUUUCUUCAACAACUGUGCCAUGGGUCGAGCGAUUUUGGAGAAGUUCUCGAUGAACCUCCGGUAGUAUCCUGCCAAACCCAAAACGCUGCGAAUUUGGGUGACUGUCUUGGGUUGCUUCCAAUCAGUGACGGCGGUCACUGUUUCGGGGUCCACAGCAACUCCUUUAGCAGAUAUCACGUGCCCUAAGAAUUUGACUUUGGACAACCAGAACUCACACUUGCUAAGCUUGGCAUACAAUUGAUGUUCCCGCAACUUUCCCAACACCAGACGGAGAUGCUGCUGAUGGUCUUCCUCUAAUUGUGAGUACACCAGAAUGUCGUCAAUGAAAACCACAACAAACUUAUCCAAGUAUUCCAUGAACACUUUGUUCAUUAAGUUCAUGAAGAAGGCAGGAGCAUUGGUUAGACCGAACGACAUCACCGUGAAUUCAUACAGUCCGUAUCGCGUGGUGAAUGCGGUCUUCGGGAUAUCUUCUUCACGAAUACGCAAUUGGUGAUAUCCGGAACGAAGAUCAAUCUUGGAGAAUACAGUGGCACCUUUAAGCUGAUCGAACAGAUCAUCGAUCCGGGGAAGAGGGUACUUGUUUUUGAUAGUAACUUCAUUGAGAGCUCUGUAGUCAACGCACAUCCUCUUUGUCUUGUCUUUCUUUUCCACAAAAAUCACAGGAGCACCCCAGGGGGAAGUACUCGGCCGUAUAUACCCCUUUUCUUUCAACUCUUCCAACUGUUUCUUGACUUCGGCCAGUUCAUUUGCUGCCAUACGGUAGGGUCGCUUGUACAGAGGAGUGGUUCCUGGAGCAAGAUCUAUCCGGAACUCAAUCUCUCGCUUCGGCGGCAUACCGGGUAGUUCUUCCGGAAACACGUCUCCGAACUCUCUAACGAUGGGGAUUUCCGACAGUCCUAUCUGAUGAAGUUCUGAACUACCGACAGAGGUUGGGGGUGCAAAGAAAACAACCGGUUGUUCCGGCCCUCGGUACAGAGUGACAGUGCGUCUUGCACAAUCCACUACUCCUUGGAAUUGAGCCAACCAAUUUAUCCCAAGGAUCACAUCCAAGUUCUUGGUGUCUAGAAGAAUCAGAUCCGAGGGAAAAGGAAUUCCCUGGAUUUCUAUAGGAACGGCAGGGCUAUAAUACUUUGCUGUCAUAACCCCUCCAGGGGUGGUGAUGAGCAGAGGGUUCCUAAGCCUUUCUACCCCCAACCGAUUUCUCCCCACGAAUGGCACAUAUAUAAACGAGUGGGAAGCUCCAGAGUCGAACAAAAUGGUAGCAGGGAUGGAAUGAAUGAGGAACGUACCAACGAUGACGUCUGGAGUUGUCAGCAUAUUCUCGGCAGUCACGUGAUUCACCCUACCCCGAAUGACAUCCUUACCACCGUUGUUGGGGCGGGGAGGUGCUUGGCCUUGCUGGCGCCUCGGCUUUGGGCAUUUAUCCGCAAAGUGCCCAGGCUCGAAAGCAGUUGAAGCACAGACGCUGCUGACCUUGAAUGUCUCUGUGGCCUUGUCCAGGCUGCACGGCUGGCGUAGGAGGACGGGGCGCACGAGUCCCUUGCUGACUCUGCUGUUGCUGCGGCUGUGGGACAUGCACCACGAAUUGAGGUCAGGGCGCGGAGCGUGGCUGCUGCUGCUGUGAGGAGGAUCCCCCUGGAUAGGGGUUGGUGUAGCGGACCCUUUGGUUAGCCCCCUGUUGAUUGCGGAAAUUUGCCAAGCGACGCUUGUGCGACUCCAGUUCCUUGUGCUUGGCUUCCAAACGGAUGCUCUUGUCCACCAAACGCUGGAAAUCCGGAUAGUCCCUGGAGACCAGACGCACGGACAGCUCAGGGUCCAUUCCUGCCAAGAACUUCUCUUGCUUCUUCUCAUCUUCACGAACAUCCUCCGGGGCGUAUCGGGCCAGGUUGUUAAACUCAUGCAAAUACUCCAUCACAGAGCGGUUGCCUUGCUUCAACUCUUGGAAUUCCCUUUUCUUAAGGGCCAUGACUCCGGCGGGCACAUGGGUUCUCCGGAAAGCGGCGGUGAAGCGAGCCCAAGUAAUAUGCUGUCCUUCUGACUGCGUAGCCUGGAAAUGGUCCCACCAUAGAGAUGUGGGCCCCUGCAGUUGGUGGGCGGCGAAGAUGACUUUCUCCUCAUCGUUGCACUUCACGGUGUCUAACUUUUUCCCCACGGCAUGCAACCAAUCUAACGCAUCCACGGGGUUAUUGGAGCUAGAGAAGGUAGGCGGACAGAUGCGGAGGAACUCGGCGAGUUUAGAGUGUUGUGGGGGUAGUGGUGGAGCAUUAUGCUGUGGCGGAUUUUGGAUGUGGUGGAGGAAAGCAGCCAUCAUGUUGGCCUGCUGGGCGAGGAUUUGGGUGAGGAUGGCGUUGGUGUCUGGUGGUAGUGGUGGAGGUGGAGGAGGAGGUGGAGGUGGGCUGCCAUGGUUGUUGUGGUUGCUACCUUCGGGUUGGUUGCCAUCACCGGUAUUAGCACUUCUCCUAGUCGUCACCAUCUGAAAAUCCCACACAGAACCAGCAAACAGAGAGAGCUGACAAUUAAAACUAACCACCCACGACUACCAUAAUUCUUGAAUUUAUUACUGCUAUUAAGUUGGUUCAUUAAGGUUCAAGUUGCUUAAGCAAAUAAAAUAAAGACAGGCUCCGACAGUUAUACCACACACCGGCAUAACCAUGCCCCAUACGACUCUAGCAGAAAAAUAAACGAGAAGAACACACGCGCAAGCCUACUAACUACUCGUCUACUUCUGCGACGGGCCAGGGCGGAAGGUGAGCAGCAGCGCAUCCUCCGUGCUGCCAACGCCAGAGGCUCCCUCCUCCUGAGGAACCAUGGGGGUGGGCUCGGCACGAGGGGUCUCGACGAAGCAGGUCCACGCCAGGGACUGACGAACAAGCUCGGGCCUGGAGGUACUCUUGCGGGCGGUGAUCUUCAGGCUGCGGCAGACGCGGCGACGCUUGGGGCGACAGACCUCUCCCUGGGAGAUCUUGACCUGACACCGCUGCGCCUCCACUGCGUCUAGGUCCUUCUUCAGCUGCAGAUUCUCCUAACACAGCUCCAGGAUCUUCAUGUUGUUCUCGACCAACCCGCGAUGCACCAUCUGAUGGAAGUCGAUACGGGCCGCGUCGUAUCCUCCACCAUGCGCGCCAGGUGCAUGAUGGUAGCGUCAUCCUCCGAGCUAGCAUCCCGGAAGGUGGCGUAGUCGCGGGCUCCUCCGCGACGAGGGUGGUAGCGGUAGGGCAAGUGCUGCAACUCGUCCGGGUAGCGCUGGUGUAGAGUGCCGAUGGCGAGGAGUGCGGCGUUCUGGCAAGCGGCGGAGAAGGAAUCUCCACCCGCGGUGACUGCCAACGAAGUCCUCUCGGAUGAGCCAGUGAGGAUCACUGCAGUAACCUCCCAAGCAGCGUGGGGCUCUGCAUCGUCACCCUCCUGCUCCGGGAGCUACUUGCCCUGGUAGUCCACUCCAUGUGGAUACCCCAGGACAGCGCACAUGCUCCGCAGCUUCAAAACGAAGCCAGUCAGGUCCAGACCACGACGGUUGAUGCUACCGGCCAUCUACAAACAAACGAGAAAAGCAACAUUUUAAAGAUCAGAUUUUGACGAUAAAUGAAGCAGCAGGACAAAGAGAGACUAAAGGAUUUUCACAAAUAAGAAAGGAUUUUUAUUUUGAAAAUAUUGCUAAGGCUUGGGAUCUACGGCUCGUCCUAGGGUCAAGGGGGCUCUGAUACCAACUUGUCACGACCGGAAUUAACCCAACGGGCGCUCCUUACGUGCGUGUAUUAUUCCUUGUCCCAGGAGGCAAGGUACACCAAAAGUUGAUACAUUUCAGAGUUUAUCAAGCAGAAGCGUAAAUAGAUAAUUUAUUACAUGGGCGGCGAAGGCCCAGCACACACAAAGACAAACGGGAAACAGCGGAAGACUAGGGCGACGACCACAGGCGCUUGACGGCAGACACGAGCUAGACACCAAAGCCUUCAUCUUCCAGGAAAUCAACUUCUGGGUUUGGGAAAAAUUGAGCAAGACUGAGUACAACCACCGUACUCAACAAGACACACCCACAAGUGCAGGAUAAAUGCAAGGGAGUAUAAGGGCGUUAUAAUAUAAAGGGUUAGGGUUUGCAGUAAACAGCAUUAAAAGACACUUAGUUGCUCAAAGCUAUUUUGUAAACACGAUUCUAGAGCUAUACAAUAUUAUUAAACAAGGCCGUGAACCCACACGAACCUGCCUUAACCCAAGGCCUACGAUGAUUCAGACCGAACUGGCAACCCGACCCUAGGUCCCAGCUCGUCCCAAGCCAACCCAGGCCAACCAUUCCACAUUUUAGUUAUUAAGCAGGUUUUAAGAAUUAAAAAACUAACUUGGGUACAUUGCUCGGCUUGCCCAUAACCGAGGGCGCGGCUAUUCGAAUAGAUUAUACUCUGAUCAGAGGUGUACAUCUUUACCCACAAUACACAUCUUCCUCACGUGUAACCACGUGCCACAUACCACCACGGUAUACGGACGGAAGACGUGACAUAGUUUCCAACCCAUCCUAGCCAUAGAGAAGAGUACCGACCCAACCCCACCUACGGCCGGAACCCCCGGGACAAGUAGGCAGGACUGAGCCCCUAGCAGCAGGACACCGGCCCUGUGCCAUGUCAUCUCGACUACCGGGCCGCAGCUCGUGUAGCCUUCAUUUGUCCUAGAGAUGUCCAUCGACCACCGACUUCAUCCAUCUCCAUCCGUGUACUUUUGUUUAUAACCAGACUGAGCCACAAACUAAGCCUUACCCACUAGACAUGUGGAAGGACGGUAGUGCUUUCCAACAGAGGCCCGAAGACCGGUCCUUAUAUGGCCGAGGUGCUACUAUCAAAACCAUGCACCCCGAGCCUAGCCUAAAACCAUUUUGAGGGUUUUGAAUAGAGGGGGAGGUGUGAAUCCAAUUCCACAAUAAUCCAACCAUUCCAUAGUGUCCAGGUGAUGAGAAUAUUCCCAAAGUCUAGAGUUAUAAAACCACAUAAUGUUGCCUAAUUAAUUAGCGAAACAUCUACCUAAAAUCAUACUAGUGGUACCAUGAGUAGAGUGUCCACUAGUUGGGGUUUUGUUUAUUCUAGGGUGAACAACGAAAUAAUAACAAUAACAAUAAUAAGGUCAUAACAAAGGUAAAUAGGCAUGGCUAGAUAAAACAGUGAUAACGCGGAAAUUUAAAUAAAGCGGUAAUGCAAUAAUUUAAAUCAAAAUAAUUUUAUAAACUGGGAUUCAAUAUGUUCAAGGAUGAUGUGACUUGCCUUGCUCGCUUUCCCAAACGUCGGCAUCAACCUCCACGAAGAGCGGAUCUUCCGAAGCUGUAGCGUCUACACGACCAACGGAAAAGAAAAGGCUUUUACUCUAAUAAACUCCAUAUAACAAGCAGGAACAAAGCACAAAAAUGGGUUCUUGACUUCUUAAGGAAAAAUUAGAGACUUGAACGGUCCAAUUCCGAGUUCAAAUGGCCAAGUUAUGGUCAUUUGAAGUUUAUAUGCUCUUUAAAUGAAUAUUUGCGAAUUUCUUUAUUUAAAUUUUAAUUUAAAAAGGGUUUAUUGCGUCAGCCGAGGGGAGGGGGCGCGCGGACCGGGUCCACGGAAGUGGGGCCCACGCGGCAGCCUCACGGUCCACGGUGGACCGGGUGCACCCGGGCUCACACCGGCCGGCGCCGUGGGUCCCACGCGUCAGCCGCACCCGAGGGCACGGGCGGCUGACAGCCGGGCCCCACGCGGCAGCCACUCGGCGCGCCCGAGGGCGGCCAAGCCGGCGCAGCCGGCGGGAGGCGGCGCCCGCGCCCCUAUGGUCGCCAGCGGCGGCCAUAGGCACGGCGGAGCGGCGGCCGAGAGAGGGGAAGGGAAGGGGGAAAAGAGGCGGCGGUCCACGGCUCACCCUAGGUCGACGGCGACGACGAAAAAAGGCGGCCGGAGCGGAGGAAGGCGGCGGCGCGGCUCGGGUCGACGGGGUCGACGGUGUUCCGGCGGUCGGCGAGCGAAAUGGAGGGGUGGAUGAGGUCGGCGAGGAUACGGCGAAGCCGAAGGAGGCGGCGCCGAGGUGGGAGGUGGUCCGGGGCGACGACGGCGGCGGACCGGAGCUCGGCGGCGACGGCGGAGAGAGAGAACGACGACGCGAGCUCGAUUCCGGCGAGGAGGAAGGGCGGCGAGAGGCGGAAACGGACGGAGGAGGUGCGGGGAGGGUUUAAAUAGAGCCGGGGCGAGAGAGGGCGACCGGGGAAGGAAGGAAACCGGCGCGGGAGGUCGGCCGCCAUCAAUGGCGCCGGCGAGACUUGCGGGGGCAAGUCCGCCCGUUUGAACGCAUGAGAGAGAGGGAAAAAUGGGGGGAAAGGGAGAGAGAAUCACGGGGAAUAAUUCCCCUCUAUUGAUUACACGCGGGGACGACGGGAUGCGGCGGAUUCGGCGGCGGCGGCGGCGCUAGGGCGCGGGCGAGGCGGCGGGAGCGGCGGGAGGAAGGGGAUGACGGGUGGGCCCCACCCGUCAGCGAGGAUGGCGGGCGGGCCCGCCCGUCAGCGGCGCGCGCGCGGGGAGAGAUCGAGUGGGCCGCGGGGAGAGGGGAGAGAGGGGGAGGGAGAUGGGCCGAGCCGGCCCAAGAGGGGGAGGGAGGGAAAGGGGACCUUUAGGGUUUUUCUUUUUAUAAAGCCAUUUUAACUUUGUUUAUUUCUUAAUAAUUAUUAUUUGUGCUCUGAAAAUUCCACUAAAAUUUAUUUACGCAUUUUAGGCUUUUAGGAAAUAUACAAAAAUCCUCCAAGCCUUAUUUGACUUUUAACUUUGCACAUUUUAAUUUUUGGAGGCUUUCACACGGAUUUUAAUUAUUCUAGGCAUAAUUUAGAGGAUGUAUUUUAGAGUCGUUUUGUGACGUAACAGUCAUUAAGAUUUUAAAAAUCAAAUAUGAUUAUCAUUGGGGCUUAUUUUUUUACUUUUCUAGAAGUCCCGCCAACCGCCUUGACCAAUUGCUUCACGACCUGCCCGUCGUCCUUCCUUUAAAUCCUCAUUAGGAUUAUAUUUGGUGUUCUAUUUAUAGUUUUUAGAUGUCCCAUCAAACGCCAUCACUCUACUCUGUUACUUAAUUAAUCUUGUCAUGUGUUUUAAAUGGUCUUUUCAUUCGGUAGUCUUUAUUUUUUAUCACCAAUUUUACUUAUUUAUAAAUUGUAUUUGUAGUUGAAGUCUUAUUUUCUUUUUCUAAUUCCAUAAUUUAUUUUAUUUUUUGUUUCGAACUUUAAGUAAUAUCGUAUUGUGUUCUUUUAAUAUUGCGCAAUUGCGCGGCUAGCACCCAUACAUAAUUUUCUAAAAAGAAAUGUUAAAUAGUAUCUCGUUAGAUUUUAAGAGAUCGAAAGUUAUCAUUAUGGUGUUUUCAAUUUUAUAGUUUCUAAAAGUCCCACCAAUCAUCAUCCCUUACUCAUUUGCCAUCCUUUAUUUGCUUGUCCAGCCUACCAUGACUUUAAUCAUUCUCUUGGAUCCUUUGAAAACAGACCCUAUAGAUUUUAGAGUUCAUUGUCUUGUCGGAUUCCCUUCAUAUGUUUUUAGGAGUUCCAUCAAGCAUCACCAUGGUACUUUAGUACAGCCUGCCCACUGCCCCUCUUAAUUUUCAUAUCCAUUUGAAAUCAAACCUUAUCGUUGUGAUUCCUUUUUUACUUUUUAGAAGUUCCGUCAACCAUCCCAACAUUGCAACUUUACGGCCUACCCAAUGCCCCUUCUUUUAAUCAUGAUUGGAAUUUUAUUUUUAAAAUCACGUGCAUAGAUUUACCUUUUUAUAGUAUGUAUUCCCUCUGUCCCACUCACUAAGAUACUCACGCAUUUUAAAAUUCAACUCUUUAAAUAUUUGACCAGUAAAUAUUUUAUUAUAAAUUAAAUUUUAUUUGUUAAAAGUAGUUUCAUUGGAUUGUCAUUUAAAUUUAAUUUUAUAUGAUUAUGAUUUAAUUUGUUGCUACAAACUUUGUAGUAUGUGAGAAAUUUAAAGUUAUAGUUUAGUUUUGAAUACCAAUGAUAAUUUUGAACACACCUUAGUGAGAGGGAUGUUGGGAGUAUGUAUCUCUACCAAUGCAUGUUUUCUGGUCUAUUUGCAUGCUAUGUUUUGAUGAACAUGAGAAAAAAAAUCCCUUCCAUCUUCCAUCACAUGUAUUUACUAUUUUUUCAGCCAUAGGUAAAAAAACACAUUUAAAUUCUAAUUAUACCAGCUCCAAAAUCUAUAUGCAUGCCAUGCGUUUGAAUCCUAAUCCCCUGAACUCUUUAUCCGUCUAGAAUAAGGAAAGAAUCAGAAGCAGCAGUACGUCCACCUAUUUGGACUUGUAUUCUAGUGUACAUGAUCAAUGUUGUCCGAUUGAUCUAGUACUACCUAGUUGUUUUCUAUUUGGACUUCUAUUAUCAAAGUUAAUCUACGCCAUCAAAGUCUAGUCACAGUAUAAUCUAACGGUCCAGAUUUUUCUUUUUUCUCCGAUUAACAUGGUAAUUUCUAGCCCCCACAGCGAACGUGGAGCCUCCUUUCAAAGCUGUCUUAAUUAGGGAUGGCAAUCGGGCGCGACGGGCACGGGUAGUGCCUACCCAUACCCAUGCCCGUGAGAUUAUUUGUGCCCGUGGGUAUACCCAUUACUACAUCACGGGUAAGGAUGGUUGCCCAUGCCCAUUGCCCGCCGGCGCCUUAUGCCCGCGGGCGUGCCCGUUUACCCGCCACAACAAAAGCAGUGGAACAAAAAGUCUACAAGCUACUAAGUUCGAAUCGAACUUAAAACAUCAAAUAUUCUCCGGCUCGGUGUCGUGUCUCUCCUCUGGUGGCGAUAGAGUAAGAGGAGAGAAAUAAUAAGGGAAAUAAAAGGAAACCGUAGAAAACAAAGAACGUGGCUUAUGUAUUCUAGUGGAUUUUGCUCCUAGCCUACAUGUAAGUUAGAUUUCGCGGGUAAACGGGCAAAGCGGGCAUGGGUAGUGAUUACCCAUACCCAUGCCCAUUUACCCAUCGGGUAUAGCUUUUGAACCAAUAAGAUACCCAUGGGUAUAAAAUGGAGAACAAACCCAACCCUAAUAGGGUUUUUACCCACGGGUAAACGGGCAAACGGGUACAAUUGCCAUCCCUAGUCUUAAUAAUAUAAUAGAUAGAUAAUAGAUAGAUAGAUAGAUAAAUAAUAAAUUUCUCACUCCAUCGGCAAUCACAUUUCGCCAAAAAUUUCCCCCUUUUUGUUUUUAUUUGAAUUUAGUCAAAAUUUAUUCAAAUUCAUUCAAACUUUGUUAAAUUAUCAAAUAAUUUCGUCCAAAAGAGUUUCUAAAUUCCCAAAAAUUUGGUGACCACAGAAAAUCCUUUUUUUUUUUUGAAAAACGAAAGUGUAAACACUGCUUGUGACUGUACGGGCCUGAUAUAUGCAACCAGCUUUUCCUUACAAAUUAAAAUGAGACAUGUGUAGGUUGCGAUUUCGAGUUGUUCGUGCUAGAAUCUAUAGAUACGAAUCCGUCUGAAGCUGAUUUUGAAUUUGAAUUGCAAGUUGGCUUGCGAGUUGCGACACAAGCAGCUCGCUUCCUCCGUGCACCGUGCCUUCCAGAAGCCAGAAGGAAUCAAACCGGAGCACGUAACUAACCACCAUCAGCGAGCGUCUUCCUCCUCGUCGUCUUCAACCUCUCGACUCUCGUGUCUCGUGCCGCCAUUAGCCACCACCAAAUCCCCAAACAACCACUGCUCCCACUCCCGUCUCUCCAAUGGCUGACGAGUUCCCGCCACCAGGUCCUCCUCACCCUGCACCAAUGGCUGAUGGUGGCGAGCCUCCGCCGCCAUGGGCGGACCUCCCAAUCCACAUCGUCCGCGGGAUCGCCAGCCGCCUCCUGUGCAAGAUCGACCGUCGCUUCGGCGAAGGCGUCUGCCGCUCCUGGCGCGAGGCGUUUCUGCAAGUCGGGCCGCCGCCUCCCCCGCUCCCGCUGCUCGUCGUCGCGAACGCCGGCGAGCACGCGUUCCACUGCGUCCCCAGCAACUGGCGCACCCACCCCAUCCCCAUCCCCAUGCCACGCUUCGCGCACCACCGCUACUUCGGCUCCUACGACGGCGGCUGGCUCUUCCUCUCCAUCAGCCAAUCCAGCCGCCACGGCCUCCACAACAUCAACAAGAACGUCAACUCCAAGCGCUUCAGAUUCAGCCUCCCUGACCAGCGGCUAUACCAAAUCCGGCCGACGACAGCGGAAGCGGAUAAGUUUAUUGUUAUCGUCGCCGCCACCCUCUCGUGCCAGCCAACCGAACCGGGAUGCGUCGCCGCCGGCAUCAUCGACUUGCACAGCUUCCCCGACCACCCAAGGUACAUCGCGUUCUGGAAGAUUGGCGACAAGUCCAUUCCGGCGAUGAACUAGGAACCGGAAGUGGUGGAGGACCUCCUGUACAGCCGCCAUGGCGCUGGCGCCUUCCUCUUCCUCACCAACGGAGAACACAUCCGUGAGCUCCCUCAACCGAUAUUCCCGCCCCCAGGCACGGCGAAGCGAGUCAGGAACGAGCUCUACUUCAAGCCGCGCGGCGACGACGGCGGCGGCGGCCGGCCGGUCCUUGCUCGCUACCUCGUGGAGUCCCGAGACGAGCUGCUCAUGGUCGUCAGGUUGGGUACCCGUAAGUCAUGUACUGCUCGACCUCGCCGUGGCCGCUCGCAGUAGCCGCCGCCGCCGCCGCCGACACCGACCUCGGCGUUCCAGGUGUUCCAGCGAGAAGACCAGAAAGUCAAAAGCAUCAACGACAUCGACGGCGUGGUUCGAGUUGAGCACUCCUGGAUCAAGCUGGCCGACCUUGGCGGCCGCAUGCUGUUCGUCGGGAGAGGCUGCUCCAGAUCCUACGAAGCGGCGGAUGGGUACCCCGGCAUGGAGGGAGUCUACUUCCUGGAUGACCGGAGCUUCUACGACCGGACGACCGUGUUCAAGAAUGACGACAAAAGGAAGUAUCACCGCAGCGACAUCGGGAAAUGGUCGGGAUCACCACCGCAGGUCAGGCACUGCUUACCGGAGCAAGGUCCGUCGAAAACCUCCCCUCCGUUUUGGAUUCUCCCCUAAGUGAGGUGAUAAGUUUCGGCAACAGAUGAAGUAGUUAAUUAGUUAGAGAUCAUGUUAGCGAUAUGUUUUGGCAACAGAUCAAGUAGUUAGUUAGUGCAGUGCGUGGUUGAUGCCUUCAUCAAUGCUGUGUUGCUUGUUUGAUUCGAGCUUCUUGCUGAGUUCGAUGGUGAUCUCGUGUUGAAAUACUGAAAUUGUAGCUUUGCUGACGAAAAAUCCCAUAAUUGGGUGAAGAAAUUCUGAAGAUGAUGAAUUACCAUUCACUUAGUUUCUCUGUACUUGCACUGCAAUUCAAUGCCGUGCUGUUUGUUUGUUUCAAGCUUCUUGUUGAGUUCUAUCAUCGAUGGUGAACUCGUGUUGAGAUUGUUGCUUGCUGGUGCAAGCUGAUGAAACAUUCCUCAAUUCAGUGAAGAAAUUCUGAAGAUGAAGAAGUACUUUUCACCUUGUUUCUCUGUACUCGUUUUAACAAAUUUGCAUUGCAAUUCAAGCUUUGUUAAGUUGUAGCGAUAUUGCAAUGCACGGAUUCUUCUGUUUCUUUAUGACAGCCAGUUGAUAAUUAUACCUUGGUAAUCAUGAUACAGUUGUAAUGAUCUGCACUGCUGAACUUGAUUUGUCUGCAUAUUUAGUCCUAAAUCAUGUGCACAAUGAGGCUGAUCGAGUGGCUGAUAGAGAGUUUGAUGGUAUUGCGCUGGUGAGAUAAUCCUGAAAUUAUUCUAGCUGAAACCUGAAACUGCACUCAUUUACCAAAAAUCACCUGCCUAAAGCCAGCUAUGAUCGACCUGCACUUCAAUUGUUGUACACCUUUUGAUUCCUGAUAAAUUCAGUGCGGACACCUUUUGUGACGCAGAACACACCCCUUUUUACUUCUUUGCUUUUAUUUGAAGCUGGUUUAAUUUGCAUGCAGUCAAAUUAUUUCUGUAUGUUAAUUGAGUCCACUUUCCUUGGUUGAACCGUUGAAGUCAUUUAUGUGCUCAAAUCGAGAACAUUGAGGUUCUUGGCUCAAAUGCAAAACUCACAAAGUCUUCCAUGAACAUUAAUGGGAUGCAUGGUGCUUCUUAUGUCGAUUUUACAAACCUGUGAGCUUCUAUAAUAGUAACACACAAUUUUUCCAGCUUGUCCAUGCACUGUCCCUUUUUUGUUCUUCUGAAAAGUAGCUGCUUGGUUCAUUUCUCUGAAGUAUUGGCUUGUUGCAUACGGCUAGUUGACCUUGUAAAUAGGCUUUUAAAACUGAACACUUGUAGCCAAGAAUUUUGUUUGUGUGUGUUACUCUGCACUUACCAUCUCCUUUUUUUAGAUCAUACUUGAGCUAUUGUUCUGGUACCCUUUCGCAUUUGGAUUAUUCAUGAGCUUACUACUUAGCGCUUUGUGUUUCAAUGGACAAUUUGCAGACAUGUACCGCAUGGUUAUGCUUUGAUUUUUGUGGCCAGUCCAUGUAAUUUCCUGAUCGAUGGAGUUAUUAUACUUUGACUUGCUAGAGGAUGCAAGAAUUCUGAAUGGGUUUAUCUUCCUUUAAUUGAUUUACCAUGUGCAGAGCUCUCUGAGUAAAACCUGAGAAAAAAACGUCAACAGGAUUAGGUUUCAAGCUGAAUAUGCAGAUUCCUCGUUGUCUGAAUGUGUGUGCAACUGUGCAUUGCAAGAUCAUUCAUGUGAAGCUAGGUUAUGCCACCAAAAAAGAGUAUUAACAUGAUAACAUCUCACCUGUAGAUGUAGAUUGAAGAUUCUAGCAAUGCAGAUUGUUGAAAUGUUUUUGUUCCCAUACUGCCAGCUGUAGUAAUCUAGGAAUCCUCCUAAUUUGAACUGAAAAUGAAUGUGAUUCAGUCAUUGGGUUUUCUGUACCUGCUAUUUUCUGGUACCCUAUUCAUUUUUAUUCCUAUGAAGUUGCAUGUAGAAACGGUUAGGUUGGGCUUACAUCAUUAUUGUCCUGAAAUUGGUAAUUCCAUGUGAAAAUUUAAUUGAACAGUGCUUCAUUGCUGGAUGUAAAGUGUGCUUGUGGUAUCUGGUAGCUCAGGUAUUAACUCACUGUGAAAUGAGAGGGUCAAAGCAGAACUGCAAACAUGAAACAAAUUGACUGACUAACCUGAACUCAUAUCUUGUUCAUAAGAGUAACAUGAACUCAUUUUCUGUCCACAAGAGUUACUAGUUCUUUGAUACUUCACUGAAGAUUUGUAGACCAUCUCAACGGUGUGGAAUACAGAUAAGAUAAUGGAUAAUUGUACCUUUUGCUAUCUGCAGUCUGCAGACUGCAGAUUAUCCAUUUUAUACCUAGUACGAUGCCAAUGCCAAUUCAGUAUUAUCUAAAAGGUAUAAUGCCAAUUAUCAGCACCGCUGAAAUUAGGCCAAGUUUAGUUCCAAACUUUUCUUCAAACUUCCAACUUUUCCAUCACAUCGAAACUUUCUUAUACACACAAACUUCCAAUUUUUCCGUCACAUCGUUCCAAUUUCAACCAAACUUCCAAUUUUGGUGUGAACUAAACACACCCUUAGUCUGCAGGUUCCAGAAAUGAAGUUUCAUGCAGAAAUGGUUGUGCUGGUAUUACAUCAUUUUGGUGCUGAAAUGGAUAAUUCGGUGGGAAAAUAUGCUUGUCAGUUCUUAGGCAUUCCUGAUAGAUGGUGUCAGGCAUUUCACUGAAUGAUCUAAAUUUUUAUGCAUAUAAUGUAAAGUCCGCUCGUGUUAUUGGUAAUUGAACUACUAAGCUAGUCUGAUAUAAUCGUCAACAUUAUUUGACAUUUCAGUAAUCUUUUGCAGAUGAGCAUAUCGAUCAGCUGCAAAGGAAUACAGAAAAUUGGAUUUUUUGGGGGAAAGAUAAUUGGAUUUUUUUUAAUCUGCAGAUUGUCCUGGUUCAUCAGUAUUGCUGUAGUUGCUAACCGGUACUCAUAGACUCCUUGGUACAACCGUACAACGCUAAUUCGCCAUCUUAAAGAAAUGUUACAAUGCCAAUUUAUCUGCACCACUGAAUUUAAUCUGUACCCAAUAUUCAGUCCCAGAUCAUGUGGAGGUUUGCACUUUGCAGAGUGCCAGUUCUCUGGAACUUAAAUUUUCCAAUACCUUUUAAACAGAACGAAAUUAAGGUGCUUCUCAAAACUAGUUUUGAAUUCAAAUUGCAACCUGCAAGUUGCCAUCGAUCAAGUCUUGCAACGCAAGCAGGCUCCGCUUCCUCCGCAGCUUCCAGAAUUUGUUCGAAACGAAGCAAACUGGAGCACGCAACUAUCCAACAUAUAUACUACUAGCAGCAGCGUCUUCCUCCUCGUCGUCUUCAACCUCUCUCGUGUCGCGUGCCAUUCGCCAUCGCCACCACCUCCACUACUCGAUCCCCUCCCAUCCCUCCGGAACCUCCACUACUACUCGCCCCACCAAUGGCUGACGGCGAGUCUCCGCCAUGGGCGGAGCUCGUCCCCGACAUCGUCCGCAAGAUCGGCCGCCACCUCCUGUGCGAGAUCGACCGCCACCACGCGGAUGGCCUCUGCAGGUCCUGGCGCGACGCGCUUCUACAACUCCGGCCCCCGCCUCCGCCGCUCCCGCGGCUUGUCCUCCCGGAAGCCGACGGGCCCGCGUUCUACUGCGUCCCCAGCGGCUGCCGCCCCCACCCCUUCGUCCUCCCGCCCGCCGCGCUCCGCGCGCGGUGCUUCGGCUCGUACAACGGCGCCUGGAUCUUCCAGGCCGUCGACCAGGCGGCGAACCACGUCCUCCUCAACCUCAUCACCCACCAGCAGCUCAACCUCCCCAACCUGAUCCGUUUCCCCUCCUUCCGGCUUCCGGGAUUGACAUUUGACUUCGAGGUCGCCUUCGUCGCCGCCACCCUCUCUAGCCAGCCGACUGAUCAGGGAUGCGUCGGCGCCAGCAUCAUCGGCUUCAAACGCAGGCCCCUCAACCCACGGCACAUCGCGUUCUGGCGCAUGGGCGAUGAGGCGUUCUCGCAGUCCAUCGAGUCGAGGUGGAUUGACGAGGAGCUGGAACUGGAUGUGGUGGACCUCCUGUACAGCGGCCAUGGCGCUGGCGCCUUCCUCUUCCUCACCCGAGGGGAAAACAUCCGUGUGUUUCGUCAACCGAUAUUCCCUCUCGGAGACAUGCAGACGACAGUGCUCUACUUCGAGCGGCGCGGUGACGACGACGACGACGACGGGCGGCCGGUCCUUGAUCGCUACCUCGUGGAGUCCCGGGGGAAGCUGCUCAUGGUCGUCAGGUUAGGAGAUCGUGAGCCUGGCCGCUUGCCGACCACGACGUUCCGGGUGUUCGAGAGAGAAGACGAGCUGUUCAACAACUACUGGACCAAGCUGCCCGACCUUGGCGGCCGAAUGCUGUUCGUCGGAAGAGGCUGCUCCAGAUCGUACGAAGCGGCAGAUGGGUACCCCGGCAUGGAGGGCGUCUACUUCCUGGACGACCGGAGCUUCCACGACCCGAUGGUUGUGUACAAGGAUGCCGCCCAACGGCGGUAUCCCUGCAGCGACAACGGGAGAUGGUCGGGAGCACCGCCACCAGCGGAGGUAGAGCGCUGCUUCCCAGAGCAAGGUCCGUCGAACUACUCCCCUCCGGUUUGGAUUCUCCCAUGAGGCGCACGACACAUGUUUUUGGUUGUUGAAAUUGUUGCCGGUGAUCAGGCUAGUCUGUGAUCGUUGCUAAGCUUUCAUGCCUUCAUCAGCAUGUACUGUGUUAGUGUGUUUAUUCGUUGAGUUUGGAUGGUUUUCUCGUGUUAAAAUUGUUACUGGUGUAAGCUGAAGCAGGAUUGCUCAAUUCAGUGGAGAAAUUGAUCUGCAGGUGACUUACCGUUCCCUUAGUUUCUGUCUUCAUGUUUUUUCUCAAAUUUGCAUUUCAAUUCAAGCUUCUUUUACUGAAGUUGCAGUGUUCACAAAUGUCUUGGGAAUUGGAAAAUGCAGAUUGUUCUGUUUCUUUAUGAUCGAUAGUUGUAACAUGAUGCAGCGCUAAUGAUCUGCAGUGCUGAAUUUAGUAGCACUAGCUGGCAGAAAUAUUAAUAUGUAGUAGGAUUGACCUUAUUCCACUUCAUUGUUUCUGAUGUAGAUGAUACUGUACUGCAGAGAUAGUUACUUGUUAGUCCAGUAUUAUUAACUGAACAAAACUCAUUUUCGAACAAAAUUCACUUGCAGAUAGCCAGCAAUGAUGGAUGCGUAGUUUAUUUGCACCUUUUUGCUGCCUUAAGUGCCUUUUUCCCCUUGUGAUUUUGGAUUGCAGCUGAUAAUUUCUGUGUGGAUAUGUGCAUGUUUGUGCUCAAAUUUUCUGUGUCAGAACACAUCCUUUUUUGGUGGAUGUCCUUUGAUUUGUCCGAAGUGAAUUUGCAUGCAGUCAAAUUUAGUUGUAAACUCUAGCUGUCUACUUACGCUUGCAGUGAGCUGAGAAUGUGAAAACAUUGAGUUCUUAGGUCAAGUACAGAAUCCACAUGGUCUGAAAUCUGAAUGUUGGAUGCCCGGUGCUUCGUGCGGUCUCUGGUAUACAAAAGUGGUGUGCAUCCAUAAUAGUAGCACACUAUUCUUCCAACUUUUCCAUGCAUUUUCCACUUUGGUUCUUCAGAUACAGUAAAUAGCAGCUUGGUUCAUUUCUCUGAAGUUAUAGUUUGCUGCGUAUGGCUGGCCUUUUGAAUUGGCCGUUAUAACUGAACAUUGUUAGUAUGUUUUGUUCCUUCUUUCUGGUUUUGUAGCCCAAAAUUGUCUUUCUGCUUACGAUAUACUAAAUGUUGUCUUUCUGCAUGAAGAUGCAGAUACCGUAGCACAUCCAGCAGACCGAGCCCGACUGUUUCUUUUUCUCGAUUUAAGAUUUUCAUGCUUUUGAUAUCUCGCUCUACAUAUUGUUGGCAACUUUUUGUGACAAGUUGAUAAGCACGAUCGCAGCAACUAAACGCCUUGCGGUAAUAUGGAGUCGCCAAAAAUCGUGAUGGCAACUUUUUGUGACAAGUCGACAAGCAUGAUCGCAGCACCUAAACGCCUUGCGGUGAUAUGGAGUCGCCAACCACCUCGAUCUAGCCAAAAGGCCAAAUCAAGAUGGGUUUUGUAGAAAAACAGCUAAACCGGUUAGCAGAGCCGAUUUAGAGAUGAAAAUCAGUCUCUAGACCGAUUUAGAUCGAUAUGAGGAUAACUACCCGUCUCGUGGGCAAAACGGAAGGUUUUCAGGACAAACCUACAAAGAGGUGUCGCACUCUCGCAGCGGCGGCGGAUGAUUUACGACACAAAUAGAUAAAGAUGGACUAAAAUUAGUGUAAAGUAGAAAACAUAGCAGAAAAGUAAACAUAAAAGAGAAAACGAUUCAAGUAUAUUGUGUGUUCGGGGGAUUACAAUUGAACCGGCCUUGUCCCUCUUAAAUAGGGGUUGGUCUUGCCCUCUACAGACUCUUCUCCACGUCCAACUCGUGAUAGAACCAAAGGAAACACGAAACAUGCCUUCCCAAGCAAGGAAACCCGAGACCCGUUGAAUACAGACUCGGGCUCGGACCCUGACGGUUUGACCGGCCAAAUACCUGCGGUCAGACCGGAGUUCAGGCCGCGGUCAGACUGCCCACAUACCUGCGGUCUGACCGGUCCUGUGAAGGAAACCCAUCACUUUCCAAACUUUGGCAAUUUUCCCCUAUUUCGCCUAUAGGUGCCAAAUUUGGGUGUAAACAAAUGCCCCCCUUCCUUUUUUAUGAACAUCGUGAAUCUAAAAGCAUAGAACAUGUUUGUCUUAGGGUGAUAAUACGAUUACCGGCCAUAGAACCUCCUAAGCAUAUUGCCAAACACUCGGGAAGUAUUUCUUCAAGUAUUUCCCAUUGAUUGCUCGCAGAAAAAUGCUGUCCUUGAAGUGUCUCUAUGUCUUUCAAAGUUUUCAAAUGCUUGUCGAUGACGUCUUCAAAAUUGCUUCGCAUUAAGGUUUUGUAAUCUUUGACCAACAAAUCGUCUUACUUGAUAUACCGAAGAGAGCCAAGAUUUACCUCAAACGGCAAAACGGCUUUUUGUCCAUAAACCAACUCGAAAGGAGUGACUUUGGUAGCACCAUAUUUAGAUAUCCUAUGAGCCCAAAAUACUUCCGAAAACACUUCAUGCCACUUCUUUUGAAGUUCUUCAAUCUUCUCUUUGACUAAUUUUAACAAUGUUUUAUUACUUGACUCGGCUUGUCCAUUAGCCUAAGCGUAGUAAGGAAAAGAACUCAACAACUUAAUCUCGUAAGAUUCUGCAAAACAUUUCACCUCCUUGGACAUAAAAGAAGCUCCUCGAUCCGUAGUCAAAGUUUAAGGAAUACCGAAUCUAUGAACAAUAUGCUUCAAGAUAAAGUCAAUUACCUUCAUAUGAAUCAUGUUCUUGAGCGCUUCGGCCCACUUGGUGAAGUAAUCCAUCGCAACUAGCACGGACCGAUGCCCUUUUGAUGUCGAAGGAUAAAUUUGACCAAUGAAAUGCAAAGCCCAUCCUCGGAACGGCCAUGGUUUGAUGAUAGGAUUCAAUAUAGCGGUAGGCGCCAAUUGAACAUUGCCGAUCCGUUGACAAGCUUUACUCUAUAGUACUUGAAACAAUCAUCAAUCAUCUUCGGCCGAUAGAACCCCGCUCUCCUAAGCAAUCAAUUCAUCUUAUGAGCCGAUUGAUGAGUUCCACGAAUCCCUUUAAGUACUCCCAUAGCAACUUUAGAAAAAGUACUUCGUCUAUAUUUCGGCGAUAUAACUCUCCAUUAAGCAAAGUGUAUUUGAAUGCUUGCCGCCGAAUUUUUGAUCAACCCUAAAACUAGAAUCUUCAAAUAUUCCAUCAAAGGGAUUCUCUAGUUUUCUUCUGACUCUUGGGCACAAAUGUCUGAAUUUACAAUUAAUUUGGCCUUUGAACCAAUUGUAACAUGCCCCCCAGCUCUCUGCCCGGGAUCGGUCAGACCGGCCACGCAAUGCCGGUCAGACCGCCCUGUCUACCCGGUCAGACCACCGGUCAUCCGCGGUUAGGCCGGCUAUAAUGCGACGGUCAGGCCAUCCCCAAUCUGGAACUUCACCAAUUUUGCCCAAAGAUUUAAAAUCAAGCACUGGCUUUUCUAAUAUCAAAAAUACUCCUUUCUUCACAUAUUAACCAGAUGCUUGGUGUAUCAAAUUAUUGGACUAAAAUUCCUUCUUUCUAGACAUAUGAGAAAAUUAUAACACCCAACUAAUAUGUCUAGAUGAAUACCAAUUUAAGUGGCUUUUGAAACAAUAAUCAUCAAGGUAUCAAAACACUUAGCCACUUGAAGUAUGAUCAAUAACGAAUCACCAAAGUCAUAUGCCUCUCACACAUGAACUCUAAUAAACUACAAAUGUUAGUAAUCGGCUUGAGCAUGUUGGCAAAAUAUUAAAACAAAGCCAAUGUUCGAAACAUAACAACUCUAGAACAAAUCAUCACAUUGACCAUUGACAUUAGACGAAUUACUAAUAAGCAAAACUUUCAUGGUGCAAUAAAUAUGAAUUAUAUAUAUUAUAUGGUGAUCCAUAAAAACACAUAUGAUUUGGCUUUAAAUAAAUAUCAAAGACUCAUGAGCCAAAUUAGACUUUAAACAAAUCAUAUGCCAACUUACCAAUUCCACUACUUAGAACUAGCAUUUGCAACAUGUAUGUAUAAUAUCAAUUUGAUAAGCAAAAACACACAUGUGCUAGAUAGCAAGCAAUGUUCUAACAUGGCAUAGGCAUAUAAUAUAAUGAUGAACACAAUAAACCCAUACCUUGCCUUAGCAUCCAACAAACGGCGGCUCAAAGAUGUGACAUUGUAUCCAUCGCCGUUCAUCUCUCUCGAUUUCUUCAUAAGCAUAUUAAUGUCUUGCCCCCCCGAGCAAAAUCAGCUCUCUUGAUUGCACGAUUUCGAAGGCAAGAUGAACACCGCACCAACAUCCAUAGCAUCAUGUGGAGGAGAGUUUUCUCUAAUGACCGAUGAUUCUUCUCUCAUGAACUUACCACUACUCUGGGAAAUCACCGGUCUCUUAACUUUUACUUCUUUAGGUCUUCACACUUGCUUAGGUGUUGUUCGAGGCUCUAAAUUUUCACAGUUUUGUCCUUCACAUCUUUGGCCUUCUUUUCUUUUUGACCUAUGGCUCGAAGACGCUGUAGCCUCCUCAUUUGAGAGCGAGAUAAGCCAGAAGGUAUCCACUUCGGCUGUGGUUGUUUUUCAGGAACCAAGCAAUGAUUCUUGAUGUAUUUGGUUGAAGUAGAAGCUCCUGUGUUACUCUCAAUUUUCCCACUCUUCUCCAAUUCCCCCCGGUCAGAUCGGCCUCUAGGCCUGGUCAGACCGGCUACAAGUUGUCGGUCAGACCAGUCAGUAGGGUCGGUCAGACCGGCCACAGGUUGGCGGUCAGACCGGCGAGAUGUCUCGGUCAGACCUCCACUUUUGACAAUCACGGUGUCGGCUCCGAUCUCCUUUGCUUGUAUGGUUUCCACCGCAUCUCCAGUAGGUCUUUGAACAUCUUGAGACUCCUACUUGAUAGCAACGACCUCCGGAGCUUUGGCUUAUUUUCUCACCCACACCUUCUUCACCUUUUUCACCUUUGAUCCACUGGACCGAUUCUUUUGUGGGAAAUGGUCUUGACUAGAGUUAAAUGAAUGACUUGGUACUGACCUAGGUGAUUGCUUCCAUUCUUGAUGAAACAUCAUAGAUGGUUGAGGCAUCCACGGCAUGUAAUACAUAAAAGGAUAACCGUAUAGUGACAUUGGAUAUGGAUAACACGGUGUUAAAACUAGAGGUUUGUAUGAAGUUGGUAUAGUUGAUGGCUCCGAUUGCUUUGGUGUUUGACCAAAUCUCUUCCUACGAGAUGAUCUUGGUCUUUUCGAAUCACUAGUUUGAUUAUCAAAUCGUUGACCAGCUAAUCCUUUUUUGUACUUAGCCAUAAACAUCUCAAAAGUGAGCUUCGGCUUUUUGGUCUUGUUGGAACUAGAUGACUCAUCUUUUGUAACCUUACGAUCUUCAGCCUUCACAUUAUUGAUCUUCAUUGUCUCGGGCCGAAAAUCCCCAAUAAUAACACUUUUCCCUUUCGUAGAUUCGGUUUGACUAGACUGAAUCACUACUUUCUUGUUGUCAAAAUCAAUAGGACUAAUAUGAAGAGGAUUACUAACAAUUCUGGUCUUAGGCAUAGGUGUAACCGAAAUAGUUUCACAAAUGACUGAUGAAUGAUCAAUCGGUCUUUGCUCCAUCAAGCUUGCAUCUUUGAAAUAAUCAUGAAACUCAUGCUCCAUUUGUGACCAUGUAGAAAUUAAAUUGCAAGCAAGUAAACUAUACCAUGUUGAUGCAAAGUUUGACAAAGAAAGAGGAAACAACUUUAACUUAAGCAAAUCUUAGGGAUAAGUCCAUUUUACACCCCCCAAACUAUUACUUUUGUCUAAACUACACCCCCAAACUAAAAAACCGGGUAUUCAACACCCUCCAACUGUCAAAACCGCUGAAUUAACCCCCCCAGUUUCAGAUCUGAUGGUUUUAGCCUACGUGGCAAAUGACAUGGCAUUCAGAUUGAUGAAAAAAUAUUUAAAACUUUUUGGGCACAAUCAACAAAUCAAAGUCUUCUCCUGUGCUCCCCUCCUCUCUCGAUCCUGUUCUUCGCAUCCAUCCAUCGCUGCUGGUCGCACCGUCCUCGACAUCCGCGUCCAUCUGCUGUUACGUUCCUGGCCCUCUCCUCCCACCCUCUACAACCGGGUGAAAUGCUACAAUGGUAUAUCCAUGCGCUUGCGGAUCAUAUCUGUAACCGCAAUAUACCAGCAUUAUUUCUAGUGCUAUUGCUGGGAAUUAUAUUUCCAUUAAUGUCGCUAAGAAAUACCAACAAUAUUGCAGAUGUAAACUAGCAUAAUCGUAUCAUACGAUCUACACAUGUAAACUAGACAGCAAACCAUGAACAGAUUGAAUAUGUGAAACAUGUUGAAUGCAUACCGAAGGUUUUUGGAAAACCAGCUUCUCAGCAAGGACUCGUGGUACCAUGCGUUGACGACAGUGCACAUCACGCGAGCGAAGAGGAAGACCAGCCGUUGUGGACGAAUAUGAAGCAGUCGUGCAAAGCGCUUUCUAAAAUCCUUAUUGCCGCCUUUUCCCGGUGAAGGACGUCUAAGGCGAAGGUUCCGGAGACCUGUUCUCCCGAUCGCCGGUGCACGCCGGCGAGCGGGAUGGAGUAGAGUACGAGCGAGGGCAUAAUAUAGAGGAGGAGGCAACCCUAUAUUGAUUUUGCAUGUGCCACGUGGAGGCGGUGACUCGAUUUAUAUAGAGAUAUCAGGACGCUUGAUCAGGGGCACCUGCACGAUCUCCACUCCGCGCAACCGAACUAGAUAAGUCGUGCGUAACUUAUUCGGACUUUAUUCCGUUUUCAUGCACUAGAUUAUUCGGCAUGUUUCCAAAAAAUAAAAUCGAAUUUCCUGCAGCAAAACAAAAUUGCAAAAGGAAACAAAACAGAAUUUCCUGCAACAAAACAAAACUGCAAAGGAGACCACAUGUCACGUCUAGAAAUUCACUAGUAAUUUCCGAACUAAUUUGUGCAUUAAAACCCUCGUCCAGGAAUCGGCCGAGGUACACAAACUGACAAUUUAAUAUACGGAUUUAUCAAAAUAACUAAAGCAAUAAAUACUUAUAUAAGAGGCACUUAGUCCUCACCACGAAGAAAACUGCAGCGGAAAAUAAAAUCUAGCGAAGCUUUAGCUCCAUACCCAUAGGCAGCUCAACUGGGGUAUAAGCCAAACGUCUUCUCCUUCACAACUUCUUCAACUGAGGUUUGAUUGAUUUUCAUAAGGCAAGUCACACGGAUCCCAAAUAACCCUUUGAGCAUAUUGAACCCGUUUAAAGCUAUUGUUUUAUUUCAACUUAUGCAUUAUUUUUGAAUGUCAUCGGGUGGUGAGCCUUUCCCAUUUAAUUAUGGCCGAAGAUGACUUUAUUUUCCUAUGGGUUAUAAUUUGAUUAGCGUGAACCUUAUAUAUUGGUUUGGUUCAGCUAGAUGCUUAUAAUAGAUGCUUAGCCAUGCUUAGAAACACUAGCACACUAUUGGGAUGAUUAAUGUUUCACUGUUACUUAAUAAUGGAUAUUUAAUGGUAGCUCACGAUGGUCAAUCGUGAUUGGUUAUUAAUUACUUGCCAACUAAAAUUUGAUUAAUGGUAGGUUGUGAGCACAUAGUUUUGAUGGUCGUGCUCAUGACAAUUAAGGAACGAUUCGCGAGCUACUGUUGUGAGACAUUAACUGUACUAACCACAAGCCAGCUUGGGCAAUGGCUGGACACUUUGUGUAGCAAGGCUCAUUGUGGUGCGCCAGACUGUGAAGCGGCGAGAAGUGCGUGAUGCCUCUGGUUAUUCAGGGGGUGAUUAUGAUCUAGAAAAGGUGCACUACUUUGAGUUGAGUUAUGCGAGGGGUCUUGUCACAACUACAUAAAUGGUGACAUGUUCAGCAUGGGCACAUAAUGAUAUGGUGACAUUUUGUGGAGUUGUGUCCUGUGGGUAAAUAUGUACAUCUCUGGCUAUAGUAAAACUAUUCGAAUAGCCGUUCCUGUGGUUAUGGGCGGGGUGAGCAAUGUUUUUCGUGAUUAGUCCCACACUGCUCAUUAAUGAUAAUAAUGUGAUAAUUAAUUUGGCUCCUGGUUUGGAAUGGCUAAUUUCUGGUUUGGAGGUUUGAUCUGUACGACCGGGGUUGGUUGUUCAGGUUUGGUUGGGCCUGUGCAGCAUGGAUGUGCUGUUCAGUGUUGAUUAAUAUUGAUGAUUAAUUACUCUAUUGUAUUACAAUUCUUAAAUGUUUGCUAAAUGCUGCUUUUGCAAACGAGUCUAUAUUAUACCAUCCUUUGGUAUCCUUGUGCACUUGCAUAUUUGUUGUGUGGCUUGCGGAGUAUUCCAUGUACUCACCUUACAAUAAUCAAUCAAACCUCAGUUGAAGAAGAAGGAUCCAGAAGGAGAAGACGUUUGGCUUAUACCCCAGUUGAGCUACCUGUGGGAGUAGAGCCAGAGCUUCGCUAGACCGUUAUUCUGCUGCUCUUGUUUUUCUUUUCUUUUGUAAGUAUGUAAUGUUAUUAUUAUGAUGGAUUUGUAUAUUAAAUUACCAGUUUGUGUACCUCGGCUGAUUCCUGGAUGAGGAUUUUAUGCACAAAUAAGUUUGGAAAUUACUUGUGAAUUUCCGGGCGUGACAAGUUGGUAUCAGAGCCAUCUGGACUGUAGGAUAAGCCAAAUGGUCAAACUUUAAGGACAAAUUUUCCGAAAACAUGAUUUGUGAAAAAUUUCCUUUCUUCUUUCUCCAGAAUUCUCUGCAAAUCAUUUUAUCAUCCUCUCGCCUCCCUCUUUCAACUUGAGUAGUUGUUAAACUUAUUGGAGAAACCCGAAGACGUCAAUGUGGUUUACUUAUGGAGGCCAAGUCAAGUGAAUCAAGGAAUAAGAAGAUGACGGUCGAACUGAAGUGCAGAGCUUUCAUAAUGGGAUGAAGUUUGGAUCCUACCAUAGAACCUAAACCACCAAAGUGACUUUGAAGAAUAGUUAGUAGGGUAGAACGUUUGUUGCUUGCUUGUGUGUAGGUAUGGUUGCAUUCCCAACAUUGUUGUAGUUCAGUGCUGAGUGUGUAAUUAUACUAGGUUGCUUACUUAAUCAACUUAAACAAUAUAAUGGACUACAUACACCAGAGAAGAAGAGGGUGGCCAAGGCGUACAACAAAAGGGUGAAAGCAAAGUUGUUUCAAGUUGGAGACUUGGUUUGGAAGACAAUUUUGCCUUUGGGUACUCGAUCCAGGAAGUUCAGUAAGUGGUCUCCUAGUUGGGAAGGUCCUUAUUGAGUAUGCGGCAUUGUUUGAGGGAACGCAUAUUUUUUGGAGACACUUCAAGGGGAGCGUUUUCAGCGAGCAAUUAAUGGGAAAUACUUGACGAAAUACUUCCCGAGCGUUUGGCAAGAUGCUUAGGAGGUUCAAUGGUCGGUAAUUGGAUUAUCGCCCUAAGACCAAAAAACAUGUUCUGUGCUUUUAGAUUCACGUUGUUCAUAAAAAAGGCAGGGGGCAUGUGUUUACACCCAAAUUUGGCACCUAGGAGUAAAAUAGGGAAAAUUGCCAAAGUUUGAAAGUCUGUCGGUUUUCCUAUGUGAGGGCCGGUCUGACCGCCGUGUAUAGGCUGGUCAGACCGCCGAGUGAGGGCCGUUCGGACCGGCGGUGUGUGGGCCGGUCUGACCGGCAGAGUCCGAGUCAUGGACUGUUUCGUCGGGUCUCGAAGUUUCCUUGCUCGGGAAGGCAUGUUUUGGGUUUCCUUUGGAUUAUAUCCUGAGUUGGACAUGUAGGAGGGCUUAUAGAGGGCAAGACCAACCCCUAUAUAAGGGACAUGGCCGGUUCAAUUGUAACUAAUCAAUCUACAAUCAAUCAAUCGAAUCGUUUUUCAUAUUACUUUUAGUUUUCUCUUAGUUUGUCCAUCUUUGUUAAUUUGCGCUGUAAAUUGUCCGCCACCGCUGCGAGAGUGUGACACCCCUUUGUAGGUUUGUCUUGAAAACCUUCCGUUUUGCCCACGAGACGGGUAGUUAUCUAGAAUCGGCUCUGCUAGCCGGUUUAGUUAUCAAAACCCAUCUUGAUUUAUCUUUUGCUAGAUUGAGGUGGUUGGCGACUUUAGGAUCACCGCAAGGUGUUCAGGUGUUGCAAUCAUGCUUGUCAACUUGUCACAAAAAGUUGCCAACACAACGUACCCCAGUACCCUAAUCAUCCGGUCUACGAGUAUCACUCGUUGAUAAUGGCGUGCUAGGUAGGGGGACUUGGUGCUCAAGGUUCUGCCAAUAUGACUUCAAGCCAUCCUGACAACAGUACCAACAGUACCAAUACUGGCGUCAAUCAAGGAGUUUCCACAUUGCUGGUGUGGACUUAAGUCGGAUCUAUUGCCUCUCUAGUCUACACCGUUACGCCAAUCUCGACUUCGAGAAAUGACAUCUCGCCGACAAUUCCUCCCACGCAAGUGGAGAACGGAAUAUCGACGACCCCAACACCUGGAAGAAAUCCUCAAGUGGCUGCACAGAAACCUAGAGCCGACAAGGAUAUCUACCCAGAAACCCAGAUCUUGGUGUCCUGUUCAUAAGACAUCCAAGCAUACUGUACAAGAUUGCCCGGUGAUACUCCACACGAAGGCCGAACUCUACGCCUGUUGGGAGCGUGGGAUUCAACGCACUUCACCGACGGGUGUCACAUACUGCCCAAUCCAUAAGUCAAGAUCUCACUAUCUCACGAGUUGCAAAAUCUUCCUUAAAAUACUCAAGUCGACGUGUCCUUAUGUCCAACAACCACAAGUUCAACUUCAGUGCGUUGCCAAGGAACGAGACGUAGCAAUGACUUCAGAUUGGUUCGUGGGUUUUGUCAGUGUCAACCCUGACGAGCCAUCUGUACUACACCUAUUGGAAGAUCAAGAGUCCUCUUCGUCGAGUUUGCCACGAGAUGUAAACGUGAUCAAUAUUGGUGAGACAAGUACGUCCGCAACAGCUAGGACGCCUGCUCAACAACUGCAGAACCUCGACGUGAUAUUGAGAUAAAGCCCUUUUGACCCCAUCCUAAACCCUGACGUCGAUAUGUGGGCAACACGACAAUGAGAGACUGUGACCAAUCUCAAUAGCGCGUUUGCAGAUACAACAAUCGAGCCUUCACCUCAAGAUCCAUCACGAGGAAAUGGUGAACCAGCUAAUGGGAACGCGGAAGCGGAAAACCCUAUUGGAGAGCGUCCUCACCGUGCUCAGUCACCACGGGCAACACGAUAUCCAACUCCGCCACUUCGUGAGAAUCGCAACCUUCGCGAACAUGUAGACGACCGGCAGAGGGAACGACGAAAUCGGAAUGACACUGACUGUCAUCGGCGUCGUUCUCCCUCUCGACAAGGAGGGAACACCAUCUACCGUCGACACCGACACCGCUCCCCUUCACGUUGAGGAGGGAACAACGAUCGAGAAGGACGCCCCAAUGAACAUCGAGAUCCGCAGGCCCGCAAUGAUCGCCGAGAUAACGAUUGUUGUGACGGUGGCGGUGACAAUCGGCGAGAUCAGGGAGCCGAUGGACGAGUUCAGGGAGACCAUGGUCGAGAUCAGAGGCGAGAUGGCGACGACAGAUGGGAACGUAACUCUCAAUCUCCCGCGUUGGGACGAGACCGACGACACGACCACUGAUCGGGUAGCCGAGCCCCCGACCCAAGUGAUCCCUUGUCUUCAUCUACGUCAUAUUCUUCAUCAGACAGACCAACUCAACGACACCAGAAAUGCGGGCCACCCUUUGCUCUAGAUGGCCGAUGCAGAGCAUUCAGAACCACACUACGAGACGUACGAUGGCCCGAAAAGUUUUGACCAGGAGCGAUCGAGAAGUAUAACGGAAGUACAGACCCAGAGGAGUUCCUUCAGGUCUACUCCACAAUUCUGUACGCUGCUGGCGCAGACAACAACGCACCAGCGAAUUAUUUACCAGCUGCGUUGAUAGGUUCUGCUCAAUCAUGGUUGGUCCAUCUCCCGCCCCACUCAAUUCCCUCAUGGGAAGACUUAUGGCAGCAAUUUGUCGCCAAUUUCCAAGUAACAAACAAGCGCCACGCGAUCGAGGACUAUUUACAUGCUCUAACUCAGAACCAAGGUGAAUCAUUGAGGGACUAUAUCCGGUGCUUCAAUGAGUGCAUGAAAUCAUCGAUGCUUUUGUUAUCCAUGCAUUCAAGUCAGGCGUCCGAGAUAAGCUGUUCAAAAUUAUCGACAGAUGCGCUCACACAGACGACGCCCUAAGAUGGAAGGAAGGAAAAAGCAAGGUAGGGGAAGAGAAUAAGCCAGCCAACAAAGACGCACCAGAGUCGAGCAAGAAGAGAAGUCAUAAGAGUGGGAAGCGCAAACCUUCGGGAGAGGUCCAUGCUGCCAAGCAAACGGACCCACCCAUGUGCCCAAACCCCCAGAAUGACAACUCACGAAAACAAUGGUGCCCUAUACACAAGACGAACAAUCACUCCAUGGAGGAUUAUUACGUCUUCAAAAAGGAGCUGGUGCGACAAUUAGCAAUCGAGAGAGGGUAGCGAGUACGAGUUGUCGAAACGGCUGUAGAGACGGCCACUCCCGACUUGGACUCCGCAUUCCCAGAAUACGACCUCCAUGCCUCGAACAUCUUCGGCGGUUCUACAUCGUACACCUCAAAGAGGGAGUACGAAAAGAUAGAGCGAGAAGUCUGCUCCACGUCGUGGGGGCUAUUGCCAAGAUGAGAUGGUCCAAACACACGCCCAAACUCCCAGACAGACGACUCAUGAAAACAAUGGUGCCCCAUACACAAGACAAACAACCACUCCUUGGAGGACUGCCAUGUCUUCAAGAAGGAACUUGCGCGACAACUAGUAAUCGAGACGGGGAAGCGAGUACGUGUUGUCGAGGCGACUACUGAAGCAGCCACCCCAACUCCAACUUUGCAUUCCCAGACUUCGACCUCCAUAUCAUGCAUAUCUUCAGCGCUUUUCCAUCAUACACCUCGAAGAGGGAAUUCAAGAAGAUAGAACGCGAAGUAUGCUCCUCAUCACAGGGGGCGGCUACCAAGAUGAAAUGGUCCCAACACAAGAUCGAGCUCUCAGAGGCGGACCACCCAAAAAUUGCAACCACACCUGGCAGAUAUCUGAUCGUGGUCGAGCCCACUAUUCGGAAUAUCAAGGUAGCACGGGUUCUCAUCGACGGCGGCAGUUCCAUCAACCUGCUUUUCACCAGUACCUUAGACGCCAUGGGGAUACCACAAAGCGAGCUGACAACCACUCCAGAAUCAUCAUUGAAGCCGUUGGGUAAGAUCACACUACCUGCCACUUUUGGACAAACCCAUAACUUCCGAACAAAGCAUAUCAUCUUUGAUGUCGCAGAGUUCGACAGUACAUACAACGCCAUUAUUGGGAGUGCACUCACGAAGUUCAUGGCAGCAUCUCACUAUUCCUAUCAAGUGCUCAAAAUGCCAGGACCAAAAGGGACAACUACUAUCCAGGGAAAAGUUGGUGGUACAGUUCGAUAAGCGGAACCUCGACAUGGUCGAGCAUAAUCCUAACCUGCUCGCCACAACUGAGCAACCCAAGAAAAUGAGCAAGCCCAACAAGAUGCCGAAACUAGACGACGCGAUCAAAAUCAUACCGUUGACCAGCUCCAACCCCGACAAGACCGUCAAGAUCGGGGCAACACUGGACGAAAAAUAGGAACUCACGCUCAUCACCUUCCUCCGCGACAAUGCAGACGUGAUCACUUGGCAAAUGUCAGACAUGCCGGGAGCCCCAGGGAGGUAAUUGAGCACAACUGAUGGUACGACCCGACGCCAAGCUAGUUAAGCAAAAACAACAGAGAUUCACACCCGAUCGGAAACAAGCCAUACGAGAAGAACUCGACAAACUUCUCAAAGCUGGCUUCAUCAAAGAAGUCUUCCAUCUAGUGUGGCUCGCUAAUCCAGUAAUGGUACGCAAAGCCAAUGGGAAGUGGAGAAUGUGUGCAGACUUCACCAACCUCAAUAAGGCGUGUCCCAAGGAUCACUUCCCUCUCCCUCGAAUAGAUCAACUAGUGGAUUCAACAGCCGGUUGUGAGCUCUUGAGUUUACUUGACGCUUACUCCGGCUACCACCAGAUCAACAUGGCAAAAGAGGAUGAGGAGAAGAUGGCAUUCAUCACGCCCUUCGGUGUAUUCUGCUAUGCCAAGGUGCCGUUCGGAUUAAUAAGCACAGGAAAUACCUAUCAGCGCGGGAUCCAGAGAGCACUUGGUGAUCAACUUGUACGAAACAUCGAGGCCUAUGUGGAUGACAUCGCCGUCAAAACCAAGACGAGCGAUUCGCUAAUCAACGACCUUAGGGAAACGUUCGACAGCCUCCGACGAUAUCAAAUGAAGCUUAACCAGGAGAAGUGCACGUUAGGAGUACCGUCAGGGAAAAUACUCGGCUUCCUAGUCUCGGGAUGAGGAAUCGAGGCCAACCCUGAAAAGAUCAAGGUAAUCGAGAACAUGAAGUCACCCACAAGACUCAAGGAGGUCCAGCGGUUGACAGGAUGCAUGGCUUCGCUUAGUCGUUUCAUCGCAAGGAUGGGUGAACGAGGACAACCUUUCUUCACCCUGCUCAAGAAGCAGGACAUAGUCAAGUGGAGCUAAGAAGACAAGAACACGUUCAUCGUGCUCAAGCGCUACUUGUCAAACCCCCCUGUACUCGUUGCUCCACAAAUUAAUGAAGAGUUAUUCCUGUAUAUCAUUGCCACACCUUAAUCUGUGAGUACGGUUAUUGUCGUUGAGAGGGAAAGAGUACAAUACCCAGUGUACUACACCAGCGAGGCCCUCCACGACGCAAAAACUAGAUACCCACAGAUCCAAAAGCUACUCUAUGCUGUGAUUAUGACAUCAACAAAGCUACGCCACUGCUUCCAAGCCCACAAGGUCACUGUCAUCUCUUCCUUCCCUUUGGGUUUCUAGCUGAAUAUGCAGAUUCAUCGUUGUCUGAAUGUGUGUGAAACUGUGCAUUGCUAGAUCAUUUAUGUGAAGCUUGGUUAUGCCACCAAAAAGGAGUAUUAAAAUGACAACAUCUCACCUAUAGGUGUAGAUUGAAGAUUGUAGCAAUGCAGAUUGUUUUGUUUUUGUUCCCAUACGGCCAAGGGUGUGUGUUUAUUCUUUGGGUGUAAAGUUUUUGAAGUAUACAGUCACACAUUUGAAGUAUUAAACAUACACUAAUAACAAAAUAAAUUACAGAUUCUGCCAGUAAACUGCUAGACGAUUUUAUUAAACCUAUUUAAUCUGUCAUUAGCAAAUGUUUACUGUAUCACAUUGUUAAAUCAUGGCAUAAUUAGGCUUAAUAGAUUCGUCUCGCAAUUUACACACUAAUUGUGUAAUUGUUUUUUUUCCCACAUUUAAUACCCCAUUGUCACGUUCUGAUAAAUUCAUCCCGAAAUAAAAAUCAUUCUCUAAAAGGAAUAAUAGAAUUAAUUAAAAUUCGAAAAGAAAUUGACAAACACUAAAAUAUGUACUAGAAAAAUUCGAAUGUGGCCCGAAGAAUUUUUGUUAAAUUCUCCUUGGUCUAAAAGGAGCUGUCAAAUUUUACUUGAAUUUUCAAAUACGUACUAGAAAAAUUUGAAUGUGGCCCGAAGAAUUUUUGUUAAAUUCUCCUUGGCCUAAAAGGAGCUGUCAAAUUUUACUUGAAUUUUCAGAGCAACGGAAUUAUUUAUUAAGCAACAACAACAAUUAACAAAGUUUACUAAAAGAAAACUAAAAAUAAAUCCUCCUUCCUCCUUUGGCCCAAAGCCUCCCUCUCUCUCUCUCCCUCGGCCCGCGGCCGAAGUUCCUCUCUCCUCCCUCUCUUUUUCCUCCCCUCUCUCCCUCGGGCCACCCCUCUUCUCCCUCCUCUCCUCCUCCCGCCUGGGCCUACCCCGGCCCAAGCCGAGCGGUCGCCUCCCUCCAGCGCGCCGCCCUCGCCCCGCGCGUGCGACCUCAUGCGCUGAUCGCGCGACCGCGUGGGUCCCACCCACCCAGGACGUCUUCCUCCUCCCGCCGGCCUCCCUCCUCUCUCUCCCGUGAAACUCUAUCCGUUUCCUCCCUCAAUUCCGCGCGAUUCAAGCAUUGGAUUCCAAAAUUGAUUUGGGGGAAUUAAUCCCCUUUCCUUCCUCUUCAAUUCCCCUAAUUUCCCUCAUCAAUCGCGCAUCAUUGCACCCGGAACGGCCGCGCCAUUCAUGGCCACCUUCCAUGGCCGCCGGCUGCCAAUCCCGCCGCUGUUCCCCGCUCCUCCCGUGGCCGGCCUGUUCCCCUCCGCUAUAAAAUGGGAUCCCCUUCCUCCGUUCUCUCGUUUUAGCCUCCUCCGGCAUCUCCCCGUGGCCGCAUGUCACGCCCAGAAAUUCACAAGUAAUUUCCAAACUUAUUUGUGCAUAAAAUCCUCGUCCAGGAAUCAGCCGAGGUACACAAACUGAUAAUUUAAUAUACAGAUUCAUCAAAUUAACUAAAACGAUAAGUACUUACUUAAGAGGCACUUAGUCCUCACCAUGAAGAAAACUGCAGCGGAAAAUAAAAUCUAGCGAAGCUCCGACUCCACUCCCACAGGCAGCUCAACUGGGGUAUAAGCCAAACGUCUUCUCCUUCGCAACUUGUCUUCAACUGAGGUUGAUUGAUUAUUGCAAGGUGAGCAUAUGACAUACUCAGCAAGCCACACAGCAAAUAUGCAAGUGCACAAGGAUACCAAAGGAUGGCAUAAUAUAGGCUCAUUUGCAAAAGCAGCAUUUAGCAAAACAUUUAAGAGAAGUAAAACAGUGGAGUAAUUAAUCAGAAAUUUUAAUCAACACUGAACAGCACACCUAUGCUGCACAGGGCCAACCACCCUGAACAACCAUACCCGGCUGUACAGAUCUAACUCCAAACCAGGAGCUAAGCAAAUUAUUACCAGGUAUAACAUCCAUACUUAUUGUGAGAGGUGUGGGACUAAUCACGAAAAACAUUGCUCAACUCGCCCAUAACCGCGGGCACGGCUAUUCGAAUAGUUUUACUCUGGCCAGAGGUGUACCACUGUACCCACAAGACACAGCCUCAACAUCAUGUCUACCAUGCGUCACGAUACUGGAAAGUACCCGAAUAGAGGCUGUGACAAUACCCUAUGCACAACACAACUCACCACAGUGCACCAUUCCCGGAUCAUAGUCACCCCCUUAUAAACAAGGUAUGGACUCCCCAGCGACCCCCAUGGGCUUAUCUCUGCCACUUCUCAGUCUGGUGCUCCGCAAUGAAUCAUGUUAUACAAAAGGUAAAGCUGUUGCGAUUGUCCUUGACCAACGGAAGAAGAUUCACCAAUUUGGAGUGGCUUGAUACGCUGCCUCUGGCUACUACCUUGUGCCUCCUGGAAUACAGUCAUUUUCCUUUUACGAUUGUCCAUCCUGUUCUUCUUGUCUUCAAGUCGAAUUGCUUUGUCAACCGGCUGCUGAAAAUCAACAUAGUCAUGGGAGAUCAACGUAACUGACAGUUCAUCCUUUAAGCCUUCAAAGAACUUCUCCUGCCUUUCCUCGUCAGUACGCACAUCUUCUGGAGCAUAACGUGCCAGACGGUUGAACUCAUGAAGAUACUCUGCCAUGGUAUGAUCCUUUUGCUUCAAUGCCCUAAACUCACGUUUCUUCAAAGCAACAACUCCUACAGGUAUGUGUGUCUUCUUGAAUGCCUCCGUGAACUCCGCCUAAGUGAUUGGUUGUCCUUCUGCUCUGUUCAUCCGGAAGUGAUCCCACCAUUCUGAUGCAGGUCCUUGCAACUGAUGUGAAGCGAAAACAACUUUCUCCUGAUCUGUGCACUGGAGCAAUUCCAACUUCUUCUCAAUAGUGUGUAGCCAAUCACCUGCUUCUACUGGGUUGGUAGUGCUAGAAAAGGUAGGUGGUCUCACACGAAGAAAAUCAGCUAACUUGUUCUGCGGCGGUGGAGCAU